rnacentral:rRNA from 1 species
AACAAACGCUGGCGGCGUGCCUAAUACAUGCAAGUCGAACAGGGAAAGCUUUCGGGUGAGUACUAGUGGCGCACGGGUGAGUAACGCGUGGAUAAUCUGCCUUAGAGUGGGGGAUAACGAAUCGAAAGAUUCGCUAAUACCGCAUAAGACCACAAGAACUGCGGUUCAAGAGGUCAAAGGUUUUUCGCUCUAAGAUGAGUCCGCGUAAGAUUAGCUGGUUGGUGAGGUAAUGGCUCACCAAGGCAACGAUCUUUAACUGGUCUGAGAGGAUGAUCAGUCACACUGGAACUGAGACACGGUCCAGACUCCUACGGGAGGCAGCAGUAGGGAAUAUUGCACAAUGGAGGAAACUCUGAUGCAGCGACGCCGCGUGAGUGAUGAAGGCCUUCGGGUCGUAAAGCUCUGUCGCAGGGGAAUAACACAAUGAAUGUACCCUGUAAGAAAGGAUCGGCUAACUUCGUGCCAGCCGCCGCGGUAACAC